UCCCUGGUGGCUCAGAUGGUAAAGAAUCUGCUUGCAAUGCAGGAGACCCAGGUUUGAUCCCUGGUCAGGAAG
rnacentral:tRNA from 1 species